rnacentral:piRNA from 1 species
UCAAAAGUGAGGGCAUGCAGCAACUGGUGU